UCCAGACUCCUACGGGAGGCAGCAGUGGGGAAUAUUGCACAAUGGGGGAAACCCUGAUGCAGCAACGCCGCGUGAGUGAAGAAGUCAUUCGUGAUGUAAAGCUCUAUCAGCAGGGAAGAAAAUGACGGUACCUGACUAAGAAGCCCCGGCUAACUCCGUGCCAGCAGCCGCGGUAAUACGGAGGGUGCAAGCGUUACUCGGAAUCACUGGGCGUAAAGAGCGCGUAGGCGGGAUAGCAAGUCAGAUGUGAAAUCCUAUGGCUUAACCAUAGAACUGCAUUUGAAACUGUUAAGCUAGAGUGCUGGAGAGGUAAGCGGAAUUCCUAGUGUAGCGGUGAAAUGCGUAGAUAUUAGGAAGAACACCAGUGGCGAAGGCGGCUUACUGGACAGUAACUGACGUUGAGGCUCGAAAGCGUGGGGAGCAAACAGGAUUAGAUACCCCCGUAC
rnacentral:rRNA from 1 species